GGCGUGUUGACAGAAUGGUUAUGUAUUGGGCUGCAAACCCAGCAAUCUCGGUUCAAAUCCGGGACACGCCU
rnacentral:tRNA from 1 species